UGACAUGACUCUUACAUUCAUUUUGGUCAUAUCCAGUUCGCUGUUCACCUUCCCGAUCUGUUCAGGACAACGGGACAGAAUGGCAUACAGAGGGAUGGAGAAGACCUGAAGAGUCAACCUACUCCAGUUCAACCCCCUGACUGCAUUCAGGAUUUGCUGUUCUCUAAACAUGAAUUCUUGAGAAAGACAGACAAGAUCACUUCUGCGCCAAGAAAAAUGGAAGAUGUUAUCUAAGGAUUGGAAAACCUUUUUGUAGAGAGGUGCUUCUGCUCCAUGUGCUCUUGAAGGUCUCCUCUAGGAUGACAAUUCCCUUUCUACAUGAGCUACCCGACCCUUUAGCAGCGCUCAAAGCAGCAGGAACAAGAAGGAAGAGCAAGCUUCAAAGCUCGUGCUCACUUUUCUCCUACAGUUCUGAAAAGGAGGACUGCCAUCAGGGAGGGAUGUCCUGGGGGCAGGUUGACAACUUUCCACAAAUCCUUCCUAGUUUUUUCCCAUUGUCUCCUGCAUCUUGCUGCUCAUGUAAGUACAAAAGGAAUAAAGACAAAGGGCAUCUUAACAAGAUGACCUCCCAUAAAUCGUU